CCUACGGGUGGCUGCAGUGGGGAAUAUUGCACAAUGGGCGCAAGCCUGAUGCAGCCAUGCCGCGUGUGUGAAGAAGGCCUUCGGGUUGUAAAGCACUUUCAGCGGGGAGGAAGGCGGUGAGGUUAAUAACCUCAUCGAUUGACGUUACCCGCAGAAGAAGCACCGGCUAACUCCGUGCCAGCAGCCGCGGUAAUACGGAGGGUGCAAGCGUUAAUCGGAAUUACUGGGCGUAAAGCGCACGCAGGCGGUCUGUCAAGUCGGAUGUGAAAUCCCCGGGCUCAACCUGGGAACUGCAUUCGAAACUGGCAGGCUAGAGUCUUGUAGAGGGGGGUAGAAUUCCAGGCGUAGCGGUGAAAUGCGUAGAGAUCUGGAGGAAUACCGGUGGCGAAGGCGGCCCCCUGGACAAAGACUGACGCUCAGGUGCGAAAGCGUGGGGAGCAAACAGGAUUAGAUACCCUUGUAGUC
rnacentral:rRNA from 1 species